GUGGUAUAUUGGUUAGUACACCCAUCUAGAAAACGGGCGACGCAGGUUCAAAUCCUGCC
rnacentral:tRNA from 1 species